rnacentral:sRNA from 1 species
GGAAAGGAUCUGCUACUACAGCUGGAGGACGAGACGCUAAAGCUAGUGGAGCCACAGAGCCAGGCACUGCUGCACGCCCAACCCAUCAUCAGCAUCCGCGUGUGGGGCGUCGGGCGGGACAGUGGAAGAGAGAGGUACUAUGCCUGUUUUCCCCCUCCUACACCUGGACCAGAUGCCUGGAAGCACCCAAGCUCCCCUCUUCUGCCCUGCCCCUUCCCACCCGCUAUGCACCACCAUUAGCCUCCACCUCAGCAUGCUUGCCUGUCUACCCUCCCUCCAGAAGGCAGCACCUAUGGGGGACCAGCUGUGGGCAGAAGCCCUGGAGGAGCUGUGACGGGCAGGGAGGACGUGGGUGGGGUGGGGACCAGGCUCGGCACUGGAUGGUACUGGGAGACACUGAGGUGCCCCUCCCCCAACAGGGACUUUGCCUACGUAGCUCGUGAUAAGCUGACCCAGAUGCUCAAGUGCCACGUGUUUCGCUGUGAGGCACCUGCCAAGAACAUCGCCACCAGCCUGCAUGAGAUCUGCUCUAAGAUCAUGGCCGAACGGCGUAAUGCCCGCUGCUUGGUAAAUGGACUCUCCCUGGACCACUCUAAACUUGUGGAUGUCCCUUUCCAAGGUCAGUGUCAAAACCUCUCCAGGUCCAGCUCAGCUUUGUUGGCAAAGGUGGGUGACCCAAGGAAAGGCAUGAGCUCCUGGACAGCGCUGAUAGAAAAAUGAACACAUGAAGACUGAAUACUCCAAUACGUGGAGGGACUCCAGUUAAAGGGAGGCAGGGGAUGAGAAGGAAGUAGGGCCUCGGCUGGGCAAGUGUCCAGCUUAUGCCCUGCUGGUGGGGCUGGGGGUGAGCAAGGUCUGCCACCAUGAUCAACCUUCUCUUCUUUCCCAUA